AGGAAGCAUACUUACAGAAGCGAGAACAAAGGCAGUUGAUCAGUUUUUUACAUUUAUCUAUACUACAUGUUCUACAUCCUUGGGAAACCAUGUUUCUGUAUCAACCUUGUAACUCUGCAGCUGUGCUAAGGAGGUGAAGCAGGAACUUGCUGAGCCUCAAGGAAUGUGAAACUGGAAGAAGAUUAUGGGCAAGUACUGCAAGAACUGGCAACAGUCUCAUAUUAUGUGGACAACUCUACAAUGCAUGUUUGUUUGGGCUCUCCCUUUUCGCUGCUCCAAACUCCCUGUCCCUGACUUUUGCUUACUGGGUCCAGUCCCCAGUAGAGUAGCUGCUCUUAGGCUUUUGUCUUAGGAGAACUCAGGGGAACACGUGGCCUAUGCUCUGGCAAUAAAAUCUUCUUGCAUUGUCAGAAGUCACCUCACUAUUUGAUGUCUCCGUAUACUCCCUCUGCUUUAAUCUCACUUACUUCCCCCAAACCUCAAUCUGGCCCCUGUUUAAAUGUCACCUGUUCAUGAAGCUUUCCUUCAUCUCCACAACAAAGCUGGUUUCUCCCUUCUCUGUGGCUGCUGUACCUUGUUUAUUCCUCCAUGGGCGCACUGAGGGCUCU
rnacentral:lncRNA from 1 species